rnacentral:tRNA from 1 species
CGGGAUGUAGCGCAGUCUGGUAGCGCACUAGCAUGGGGUGCUAGGGGUCGCUGGUUCGAAUCCAGUCAUCCCGA